GACAGAGUGAGGGAGGGGGUGACACAGUGACAGAGUGAGGGAGGGGGUGACUAGUGACAGAGUGAGGGAGGUGGUAACUGUCACUAGUCACUAGUCACCACCUCCCUCACUCUGUCCCUAGUCACCCCUCCCUCUGUCACUAGUCACCCCCUUCCUCACUCUGUAACUAGUCACCCCUUCCUCACUCUGUC